UCCCCCUCUGCUCCCCCCUUCCUUCCCCUUGCCGCCGCUACCGCCGCCGUGCUUGGGAGCGGGUGCCGCCACCGGCAUAUAUAGGCGGUUUUGACCUUUCAAUAGAGAGCUGAUUUUGGAGAAUGGCUUACUCCUGUGAUUGAAAAACUCUCUGAAGGUUGAUGGAGCAUGAGCAUGGGGAAUCUUUCAUUGAGGUGACUGAAAUUGCUGCAGUGAGAAUGGGAAUUACUUGAGCUCCUUCCCUUUUAAAAGCUGCAUGAAAGAACUGUGUGGUGAGUCAAAUGUAGACUAAUGGUUAUGUAAAUGUCACUAAUUUUAGAUACAGUCAAGAUCUGAAAGUGUGUUUCCUUAUAAGAUUUUAUUUUCUGCACUAUCAUGACUCAGUAUCACUCGCUAAUCUCAUUUUAUUAGCCCUGCUAUGUUUUACCAUUAAAAUACACGUGCCUUCUUCAAAUGCAUGUUCACAGAUUCAAGUUUAUACAUCAUAUAGAUGCUUGAAAGGGAGGGAAAAAAGCAUAUCUGCACUGGGGAUUUGUUUUGACUUCAGGCUUCACAGGCCUGCCACUGGUGCAGUUACACAGGUAGAAAUGUGCUGUAGAUCAAUAUAAAUCUAAGUUGUUGUAAUUCAUGAAUUUGUGUUAUUUAAUUGUAUAGAAUUUCAGCCUGGUGUGUGUGCAGGUAAAGAUGACACUUUGUCUGCCUCUGCUAUGAGUUUGAACUGAUGAAAUUACUGAUGGCUAAAAUUUUCAAUUUAGUUUAGACCUGAGCAGUUCUUAAUAGCACAGCUAUGCAGUAUUAGAUAGAUGACAGCUUUUCACAGAGUAAACACUUCUGUGCAUACAUUUACCUACUACAGGUCUCUGAAGAAACGUGGCCAAAAUGAGGUUGACUACUCAGAAAAAAAUCUGCUAUCUGGCUCAAAGUUGGAUAGCUUUCUCACUGAGGCUCCUUUAAGUAGCACUGUGCUCUAUUUUCUUGUCUGUGAUUGCUUAACCCUAAAGAACUGCACAUGCAUUUCAGCCAUUUGAAAACUUAGAAAUCCUUGGAAACAAUCAAACUUUGUCAAAAAGACAUUCUUCCAUUAUUCUCCUCCAUUUGAAGGUUCUUGAUAUUUGUUAGCACACUGCAAACUGUGGUGCUUCCAGAGGGCCAUCCAUCCUUCUACUCUUUGGAUCAGUAAUUUAAUCUAAGUUUUCUCUAGGAAUUAUAUGAAUAGAAGGGAAUAUAAGGAGCUAAUAAAAAAGAUUUGGGAGGAGGCAACAUGAAAGUCUAUUUGCAUGGCUUUGUCCAAGCCCAGUGGCCAAACCAUUUCAUCCAGGCUACUUCAUUAUGCCAGUUUCAGGCUUCCAUGUGAAUUCUGAAACAGACUUUUUCCCUCUGGUUCACCAUGCACAACCCUGUAAGUGGCACAAGGCACAGGAUGGCAGGGGAUGGGAAGAAGCAGAAGGGGAAAGAUUGGACAGCCUUGUUUAGUGGCCCUAGCAGCUUGUAACAGUUGAGUGACAUAAUGAAAAUACAAUUUGAGCAUCUGGAGAACCAGGGCUCAACUGAGGAACAAAAGUAUUACUUCAAGUUUUUAUGACUGCUUACUUAAAUUCUCAGUUCCUAAACCUUUGAAAAGAAUGAUGGAUUUCUCUCAUGGCUCACAGCUGCCUUAAUUUAUAUUAGCAAUUGUAUUUUCCAGAGGUUUACCUGCAUGGGCCAAGCCAUAGCCCAUGGCAGGGUGGUGCUCUCUCUGCGUUGCAGCUCUGUGGUCCUAAGAAUUGGUCCUGAUAUAAGAAAGGGAGGCUCUCUAUUUUCAGCUUAGGUGGUUGUUUUCUG